GCUCACACCUGUAAUAAGCACUUUGGGAGGCUGAGGCGGGCAAGUCAUCUGAGGUCAGGAGUUCGAGACCAGCCUGGCCAAUAUGGCAAAACCCUGUCUCUACUAAAAAUACAAAAAUUAGCCAGGCAUGGGGAGCGCACCGGUAAUCCCAGCUGCUCUGGAGAAAGGAGAAUCACUUGAACCCAGGAGAUGGAGGUUGCAGUGAGCUGAAAUCAUGCCACUACACUCCAGCCUGGGCAACAGGGCAAGACUCCAUCUUAAAAAUAAUAAUAAUAAUAAUAAUAAUAAUAAUAAUAAUAAUAAUAAAGACCUGGCCUGGCAGGCCUGGGAUUCAAAUUGCCAGGGCAGGGAACUGGAGGUGUGGGUUUGUUUUGUCUCUAGAUUGGUUAGGAAGGUGUCUGUCUGCCUAUUGGAGUGUGUGUCUGUGUGUGCACCUGUGUCUGUCUGUAUUCGUGUUGUAUAGACAGACGCAGGUACACACAGAUACAUACUCAGAUCCAUGGGUCUCUGUGCUCUCUAGCCCAGGUUCUAUCCUGGACAAAGAGAUCCCUAGUGGGACAAGAUCCAGCCCGCAGACCUGUAGCCAGCCCUGCCCUGGGAACCCCUCUCUGGGUCCCGUGCAGUGGGGCCAGAGUGGAGGAGACGGGGUCAUGCCUCUCCCUGAGGCAGGAGGUGAGUGGGCGGCCUACAGAGGCCCUGCCCUGAACUUGGGCCUCAGCCUUGGCAGCUGGGGAGAUGGUCUGGUGAAUGGUAGGCUGAGACAGCCUGAGCUGAGUGGAGCACUUUCCUGCAGGCAGGCAGGUGAGAUACAGAGGCCUGUCAACCUCUCUGAGCCUCAGCUUUUCCUUCAUGAAAAUUGAGCAAAUAAACCUACCUACUUUGUGGAGUAUCGCGAUUUUUUUUUUUGAAAUGAAAGGCCUCACAUAUUUAUUACUGAACCCAGCCAACCCACACGUUCAUAACAGAUUCAGAGAGGAAAACACGUCGAACUCUCCAGAUAGUGGUGACACUUUCAGUUUGAUAUGCUAACGUGAUCGUGACCUUCAGACAGCAUAAAUAUGUGUGCCAUCUCAUGUGCAAUUCCUUAUAGACCCAGCUUGGUUCUUCUCCAGUGUCCUUUUGGAGUUGUACCUGAUUUUAUUUCCAGUUUUCAUCCAAAUCCACUGGGGAAUGGGACGAUUUUGCUUUUGUUUCUUGUCCAGGAAUCGCUUAAUCCUGAAAGUCUUGUAGGAAGAUAUGGCGAGAAGUGGAGUCAAGAACACACCACGAUGGUGCAGAAAGGAAAAGCAUUGCGAUUUUUAUUGGAUUUGAAGAAAUAGUAAGGGGUCAGGCUGGGUGUGGUGGCGCACGCCUGUAAUCUCAGCACUUUGGGAGGCUGAGGCAGGUGGAUCACGAGGUCAGGCGUUCGAGACCAGCCUGGCCAACAUAGUGAAACCUUGUCUCUACUAAAAAUACAAAAAUUCUCCCGGUGUGGUGGCGCACGCCUUUAGUCCCAGCUACUUGGGAGGCUGAGGCAGGAGAAUCACUUGAACCCAGGAGGAGGAGGUUGCAGUGAGCCGAGAUCGCGCCACUGCACUCCAGCCUGGGCAACAGAGUGAGACUCCAACUCAAAA
rnacentral:lncRNA from 10 species